AUUGAACGCUGGCGGCAGGCCUAACACAUGCAAGUCGAACGAGUGGCGGACGGGUGAGUAAUGUCUGGGAAACUGCCUGAUGGAGGGGGAUAACUACUGGAAACGGUAGCUAAUACCGCAUACCAUCGGAUGUGCCCAGAUGGGAUUAGCUAGUUGGGGGGGUAAAGGCUCACCAAGGCGACGAUCCCUAGCUGGUCUGAGAGGAUGACCAGCCAAACUGGAACUGAGACACGGUCCAGACUCCUACGGUAGGCAGCAGUGGGGAAUAUUGCACAAUGGGCGCAAGCCUGAUGCAGCCAUGCCGCGUGUAUGAAGAAGGCCUUCGGGUUGUAAAGUACUUUCAGCGGGGAGGCGUUACCCGCAGAAGAAGCACCGGCUAACUCCGUGCCAGCAGCCGCGGUAAUUC
rnacentral:rRNA from 1 species